CUCCCGGCAGCGUUCACCUCGGUACCGUUCACGCUCUCGGCACCGGUCAGGCUCCCGGCGCCGGUCGACGUCCAGAGCGUCAACCCGGUACUCCCGGCACCGCUCUAGCUCACGGCACCACGGUGGGCGCCGCACCUCCAGGAGCAGAUCUAGACAAAGACACUUGAGAUCCCAGUCGACCUCCCGGCACCGAGCCGGUCGCAGGUCCCGGUCUCGCUCCCAACACCGGUCACCACUAUCUAGAGGUGUGAGGUCUGUCGGUACCUCGGCACCGACUUUCGCCGCUCCACCGUGGCCAUCUAGAGGCACGUCGGCAUCCUCCCAGGCGGGUAGCUAUUAUGAACGGGACCAGGACCCCAAAGUACCGCUGGGAGUGUUCCAAGACCCCCACCUGCAGGACGCAGGUGCCCAACAGUGGGGUUUUUGGACACCCUGGGCUUACCAUCAGGCCCAGGGUGCCCUCGUGCCUCAGACAUGUUCUACCGCCUCAGAACAUCGGGUGCCGGAGGCCACCGUUUCCCGCCCCCCCGUGGUUGAGUCGGACAAACAGCCGCCUCCGGACUCCCUGGGUCAACACGAGCAGGAACCAGGCCAAGAACAAGAGACCACGCAGGAUACCCUCAUCCCCGGAGUAUCCUCCUCCUCCUCCUCCUCACCGGAUGAGGCAGUGGCUGGGUUGUCAGCGUCGGGACCCCCACCUAUAGACCUCAGGGCCCACCAGGACCUCCUCCGUAGAGUGGCCCUUAAUAUCAACCUACCGGUGGAGGAGGUCUCAGAGGUUCAGGACCCGGUGGUGAGCAUCCUCUCGGCCGAUGCACCUACCCGGGUACCCCUCCCAUUCAUAAAGACGAUCCAGUCUACCGCCGAUAACCUGUGGCAGUCACCAGCCUCCAUCCCGCCGACAGCUAAGGGAGUGGAAAGGAAGUACAUGGUACCCUCUCGGGAGUACAAGUACCUGUAUGUCCACCCUCCUCCCUCCUCCCUAGUGGUUCAGUCGGUCAACGACAGGGAACGGCAUGGCCAGCAGGCACCGGCUCCCAAAUCCAAGGAGGCUAGGCGGAUGGACCUNCCCAAAUCCAAGGAGGCUAGGCGGAUGGACCUCAUGGGUCGCAAGGUGUACUCAGCUGGAGCCUUGCAACUCCGUGUGGCCAACCAGCAGGCCUUACUGGGGCGUUAUAAUUACAACAUAUGGGCGGAGGUGGGUAAGUUCUCCGAACUGCUACCCCAGGACUCACGCCCGGAAUUUAACGCGUUCCUGGAAGAGGGUAAGAAGGUGGCCAGGACCUCCCUACAGGCCUCCCUCGACGCGGCUGACUCGGCAGCCAGAACCUUUGCUUCCGGAAUAACCAUGAGGCGCAUCUCAUGGCUUCAAGCCUCCACACUACCCCCAGAACUACAAUAUACAGUCCAGGACCUACCCUUUGACGGGAAAGGGUUGUUCUCGGACAAGACGGACUCCAAAUUACAAAAUCUGAAGGACAAUCGAGUCAUCAUACGCUCGCUGGGGAUGCAUACACCUUCCACCCAGCGUAGACCCUUCAGGCCCCAAGCAUGACGCCCAUACUUCCCACCCCGCCAGAGGCAGGACCUCAAUAGACGGCGUGGCCGGGGGGGCCGCAGAUGCCAAUCCAGCUCCCAGGGAGGUCAAAGCCAAGGGCCUUCCAAGUCACAGCCGGACCCCAAGUCCGGUUUUUGAAGGUGCGCCCGGGGACGACAU
ensembl:lncRNA